rnacentral:rRNA from 1 species
AAAUUGAAGAGUUUGAUCAUGGCUCAGAUUGAACGCUGGCGGCAGGCCUAACACAUGCAAGUCGAACGGUAACAGGAAGCAGCUUGCUGCUUCGCUGACGAGUGGCGGACGGGUGAGUAAUGUCUGGGAAACUGCCUGAUGGAGGGGGAUAACUACUGGAAACGGUGGCUAAUACCGUAUAACGUCGCAAGACCAAAGAGGGGGACCUUCGGGCCUCUUGCCAUCAGAUGUGCCCAGAUGGGAUUAGCU